GGUUAAGCGACUAAGCGUACACGGUGGAUGCCCUGGCAGUCAGAGGCGAUGAAGGACGUGCUAAUCUGCGAUAAGCGUCGGUAAGGUGAUAUGAACCGUUAUAACCGGCGAUUUCCGAAUGGGGAAACCCAGUGUGAUUCGUCACACUAUCAUUAACUGAAUCCAUAGGUUAAUGAGGCGAACCGGGGGAACUGAAACAUCUAAGUACCCCGAGGAAAAGAAAUCAACCGAGAUUCCCCCAGUAGCGGCGAGCGAACGGGGAGCAGCCCAGAGCCUGAAUCAGUGUGUGUGUUAGUGGAAGCGUCUGGAAAGGCGCGCGAUACAGGGUGACAGCCCCGUACACAAAAAUGCACAUGCUGUGAGCUCGAUGAGUAGGGCGGGACACGUGGUAUCCUGUCUGAAUAUGGGGGGACCAUCCUCCAAGGCUAAAUACUCCUGACUGACCGAUAGUGAACCAGUACCGUGAGGGAAAGGCGAAAAGAACCCCGGCGAGGGGAGUGAAAAAGAACCUGAAACCGUGUACGUACAAGCAGUGGGAGCACGCUUAGGCGUGUGACUGCGUACCUUUUGUAUAAUGGGUCAGCGACUUAUAUUCUGUAGCAAGGUUAACCGAAUAGGGGAGCCGAAGGGAAACCGAGUCUUAACUGGGCGUUAAGUUGCAGGGUAUAGACCCGAAACCCGGUGAUCUAGCCAUGGGCAGGUUGAAGGUUGGGUAACACUAACUGGAGGACCGAACCGACUAAUGUUGAAAAAUUAGCGGAUGACUUGUGGCUGGGGGUGAAAGGCCAAUCAAACCGGGAGAUAGCUGGUUCUCCCCGAAAGCUAUUUAGGUAGCGCCUCGUGAAUUCAUCUCCGGGGGUAGAGCACUGUUUCGGCAAGGGGGUCAUCCCGACUUACCAACCCGAUGCAAACUGCGAAUACCGGAGAAUGUUAUCACGGGAGACACACGGCGGGUGCUAACGUCCGUCGUGAAGAGGGAAACAACCCAGACCGCCAGCUAAGGUCCCAAAGUCAUGGUUAAGUGGGAAACGAUGUGGGAAGGCCCAGACAGCCAGGAUGUUGGCUUAGAAGCAGCCAUCAUUUAAAGAAAGCGUAAUAGCUCACUGGUCGAGUCGGCCUGCGCGGAAGAUGUAACGGGGCUAAACCAUGCACCGAAGCUGCGGCAGCGACACUGUGUGUUGUUGGGUAGGGGAGCGUUCUGUAAGCCUGCGAAGGUGUGCUGUGAGGCAUGCUGGAGGUAUCAGAAGUGCGAAUGCUGACAUAAGUAACGAUAAAGCGGGUGAAAAGCCCGCUCGCCGGAAGACCAAGGGUUCCUGUCCAACGUUAAUCGGGGCAGGGUGAGUCGACCCCUAAGGCGAGGCCGAAAGGCGUAGUCGAUGGGAAACAGGUUAAUAUUCCUGUACUUGGUGUUACUGCGAAGGGGGGACGGAGAAGGCUAUGUUGGCCGGGCGACGGUUGUCCCGGUUUAAGCGUGUAGGCUGGUUUUCCAGGCAAAUCCGGAAAAUCAAGGCUGAGGCGUGAUGACGAGGCACUACGGUGCUGAAGCAACAAAUGCCCUGCUUCCAGGAAAAGCCUCUAAGCAUCAGGUAACAUCAAAUCGUACCCCAAACCGACACAGGUGGUCAGGUAGAGAAUACCAAGGCGCUUGAGAGAACUCGGGUGAAGGAACUAGGCAAAAUGGUGCCGUAACUUCGGGAGAAGGCACGCUGAUAUGUAGGUGAAGUCCCUCGCGGAUGGAGCUGAAAUCAGUCGAAGAUACCAGCUGGCUGCAACUGUUUAUUAAAAACACAGCACUGUGCAAACACGAAAGUGGACGUAUACGGUGUGACGCCUGCCCGGUGCCGGAAGGUUAAUUGAUGGGGUCAGCGCAAGCGAAGCUCUUGAUCGAAGCCCCGGUAAACGGCGGCCGUAACUAUAACGGUCCUAAGGUAGCGAAAUUCCUUGUCGGGUAAGUUCCGACCUGCACGAAUGGCGUAAUGAUGGCCAGGCUGUCUCCACCCGAGACUCAGUGAAAUUGAACUCGCUGUGAAGAUGCAGUGUACCCGCGGCAAGACGGAAAGACCCCGUGAACCUUUACUAUAGCUUGACACUGAACAUUGAGCCUUGAUGUGUAGGAUAGGUGGGAGGCUUUGAAGUGUGGACGCCAGUCUGCAUGGAGCCGACCUUGAAAUACCACCCUUUAAUGUUUGAUGUUCUAACGUUGACCCGUGAUCCGGGUUGCGGACAGUGUCUGGUGGGUAGUUUGACUGGGGCGGUCUCCUCCUAAAGAGUAACGGAGGAGCACGAAGGUUGGCUAAUCCUGGUCGGACAUCAGGAGGUUAGUGCAAUGGCAUAAGCCAGCUUGACUGCGAGCGUGACGGCGCGAGCAGGUGCGAAAGCAGGUCAUAGUGAUCCGGUGGUUCUGAAUGGAAGGGCCAUCGCUCAACGGAUAAAAGGUACUCCGGGGAUAACAGGCUGAUACCGCCCAAGAGUUCAUAUCGACGGCGGUGUUUGGCACCUCGAUGUCGGCUCAUCACAUCCUGGGGCUGAAGUAGGUCCCAAGGGUAUGGCUGUUCGCCAUUUAAAGUGGUACGCGAGCUGGGUUUAGAACGUCGUGAGACAGUUCGGUCCCUAUCUGCCGUGGGCGCUGGAGAACUGGAGGGGGGCUGCUCCUAGUACGAGAGGACCGGAGUGGACGCAUCACUGGUGUUCGGGUUGUCAUGCCAAUGGCACUGCCCGGUAGCUAAAUGCGGAAGAGAUAAGUGCUGAAAGCAUCUAAGCACGAAACUUGCCCCGAGAUGAGUUCUCCCUGACUCCUUGAGAGUCCUGAAGGAACGUUGAAGACGACGACGUUGAUAGGCCGGGUGUGUAAGCGCAGCGAUGCGUUGAGCUAACCGGUACUAAUGAACCGUGAGGCUUAACCUU
rnacentral:rRNA from 1 species